UAAAUACUUUACCCCAGCCCCUCCA
rnacentral:piRNA from 1 species